rnacentral:lncRNA from 1 species
UCCUCUAUCCCCACAAUCCAGUCCCGAAACCACCAUCACCUGCCUCAUUAUGUCUAAACUUGAAAUUUCCCGCUCAUCAGCCCAAAACCAAGCUGACAAACAACACAGAUCAGCAAGAAAGCCAAAACCUGGAAAACACACUUCAUUCCCAGUAAACCUGAAACCAACCAAUAGAAGCAGAACAAGACGAGCAAAAAUCAAGUUUGCAAAUCAGGCAUCAACCAAUGAGCAAGAAACAAAAAUCAAGCA